AUUCAUCUCCUAAGGCCUCGCCGGUUAUGACACUAGUGAGUAAGUGAAACCAAUCCCGAUCGGAUUCACUUGCCACUCGUGGAAUAGUCGGCGAGUGCCUGGAGCAUUU
rnacentral:pre_miRNA from 13 species